GAUGAACGCUGGCGGCGUGCCUAAUACAUGCAAGUCGAGCGAACGGAUGAGAAGCUUGCUUUUCUGAUGUUAGCGGCGGACGGGUGAGUAACACGUGGAUAACCUACCUAUAAGACUGGGAUAACUUCGGGAAACCGGAGCUAAUACCGGAUAAUAUUUUGAACCGCAUGGUUCAAUAGUGAAAGACGGUCUUGCUGUCACUUAUAGAUGGAUCCGCGCUGCAUUAGCUAGUUGGUAAGGUAACGGCUUACCAAGGCAACGAUGCAUAGCCGACCUGAGAGGGUGAUCGGCCACACUGGAACUGAGACACGGUCCAGACUCCUACGGGAGGCAGCAGUAGGGAAUCUUCCGCAAUGGGCGAAAGCCUGACGGAGCAACGCCGCGUGAGUGAUGAAGGUCUUCGGAUCGUAAAACUCUGUUAUUAGGGAAGAACAUAUGUGUAAGUAACUGUGCACAUCUUGACGGUACCUAAUCAGAAAGCCACGGCUAACUACGUG
rnacentral:rRNA from 1 species